CUGCGUUAACCACUCCAGUCAACAGAUGGCGAUAUGCGUUUUUUAGGCGAUGCUAUCAGAGUGACGUAUAAUGUAGUGGACGGGACGCUUCUUCAACAACAUCUCGUCAGCCACCUCGGUAGCUUCCUAGUGGAAACGUUCAAGCUGUUCAGACUGUAUUUGGAACAUAAUUCUGUCUUUUAACUAGUUUCCCCAUUUCAUGUCAUAUUUCCGUUUAGUCAGGUAACGGUAGCUGGCUUGAUAAAUGAGCCUAUCACUAGUCUAGUCGCUAACUAGCUAGGUUAGCUGGCUAACAUCCCCGACCAUGAGCUCAGCAAGCUGCUGCCCUCCUGCUAAAAAAGAGGUCUGCUGGAAGGAGAAAGAAGGUAUUUGGCUGAACGUUGUCGUGAAAGAGGAGAAUGAAGAGGAGGAUGUCACAGUAAACGAAGAAGUCGAGGGUGAGGCUGUUACACAGAAAGAAGAGGAAGAAAACGAUUAUACUUUUUUUGGAGUGAAUGAAGGAGAGAUAACUGUCAUAUUGAAGGAGGAGGAGAGGGAAGAAGAGAUGGAGACAGAAGAUCUGAGUAGCACCAGAGAGAGACCAGACUCUCCUUCUGACAGCAGUAAGAGUCCUUCAGGGAAACCAGACCCCGAGACGUCCAAACCAGCAGGACGACAUCACUGCUCCCAGUGUGGGAAGAGUUUUACUCAGUUAGGGAGCCUGAGAACACAUAAGAGAAUACACACUGGAGAGAAGCCUUACCACUGUUCCCAAUGUGGAAUGUCGUUUACCCAGUUAGGGAGCCUGCAAACGCAUGAGAGGGGACACACAGGGGAAAAGCUUUUCCAAUGUUCCCAUUGUGGAAAGAGUUUUGGCCAGGUAGGAAACCUGAACAAGCAUGAGAGGACACACACAGGUAAGAAGAUGUACCGCUGCUCCCAGUGUGGAGAGAGAUUUACCCGGUUAAGGUACCUGAAAGAGCAUGAAGGAAUACAUACAAAUACACAGGAGGAGAAGACAUACCACUGCUCUCAUUGUGGAAAGACAUUUUCCCAGUCAGAGAACCUGAAAACACAUGAGAGAAUCGAGAGGCUGUGUUCUGACUUGUGUUUCUGACUGAGAAUGUGUGUGUUUGUUUGGGCUGUCAGACUUGAGUUCACUUUGUAUAAUGUUAGUGCACUAUUUUUAAUUGUGAUUAAUCCAUUGUCUGAAAGGGUUGAAAACACACUGAAAACAUCCAAAAUACAUACUAUAUACAGCUAAAAUCUACAAUGCCAUGUAAACACUAGAUGACAUUGAGGUUAAAUAAAGUGUGCUUUAUCAAUGGAACAUAUUUUGACACGUCCACUGUGUGUCUCUGAAGAGUCAUAAUAUCCAUAACAACUAGAGGUCAAACAGGGAGAUGGUUCCAUUCAUUUUCCCCACAGGGCUGUUUUGUUUAGACUCACCCUGGUGUGAUGUUUUGACAACCAUGGAAACCUCUCUGGGACGAGGUGACUGAGGACACAGUGUGUUGUGAAUUUAUUGUCAUGUUUUUAAAAUGGUAUAAAUGCCUUUAUUUUAGCUGGACCCCAGGAAGAGGAGCUGCUGCCUUGGCAGGAACUAAUGGGGAUCCGUAAUAAAUACAAAUACUUUUAUCAAUAUAUUUGUCUCUCUCUACUCUCCGAUUCAAAUAUGCUAAUUAGCAUCGAAGUAGACAACAUGCAAGACUACAAAUCCCUGCAAGCUCCUGCAAGUCAUCUCUAGCCAACACAUUUCACAGAAUUGUCCAUUGAAAUAAAUGUUGACAAUUUAAUCAUUGCUACAUUAAGGCCUGAAUGGUGGAGUGCUGCAGAGAUGGUUGUCCUUGAGGGAAGGUUCUCCCGUCUCCACAGAGGAAAUCUGGAUCUCUGUCAGAGUGAACAUCGGGUUCUUGUUCACCUCCUUGAUCAAGGCCCUUCUCCCCCGAUUUCUCAGUUUGGCCGGGCGGCCAGCUCUAGAAAGAGUAUUGGUGGUUCCAAACUUCUUCCGUUUAAGAAUGAUGGCGGCCAUUGUGUUCAUGGGGACUGUUUGCUACAGACAUUUUUGGUACCUUUCCACAGAUCUGUACCUCGACACAAUCCUGUCUCAGAACUCUACAGACAAUUCCUUUGACCUCAUGGUAUGGUUUUUGCUCUGACAUGCACUGUAAACUGUGGGACCUUCUAUAGACAGGUGUGUGCCUUUCCAAACCAUGUCUAAUUUAUUGAAUUUACCACAGGUGGACUCCAAUCAAGUUGUAGAAACAUCUCAAGGAUGAUCAAUGGAAUAAGGAUGUCUGAGCUCAUUUUCGAGUCUCAUAGCAAAGGGUCUGAAUACUUAAGUAAAUACAUUUGCAAAAAAUUCAAAUCUGUUAUUGGUUUGUCAUUAUGGGGUUUUGUGUGUAGAUUGAUGAGGGGAAAAACAUAUUCAAUUUUAUAAUGAGGCUGUAACGUAACUAAAUGUGGAAUAAGUGAAGGGGUCUGAAUACUUAAUGAAUACACUGUAUACCACUGGAAGAGCUUUCUAUCAUUGGCAGUUUUGUACACAGUCAGGUGGUAUAGAAAGUCCAAUCUUAGGAGAGAACAUGGGAGGCACUAUACUGUGUGUCUGCAGGUGUCUAUCUGGUCAAAACCACUGAUAGAGGUGCCCCUCCACCCUCUGGUGGGAUGGAUCAUGUCUACAGAGAAACCUACAUUCAAAUACUUAGAUUUGUGAAAUUAUUAGAUAUUACUUGUUAGAUAUUACUGCACUGUCGGAGCUAGAAGCACAAGCAUUUUGCUACACCUGCAAUAACAUUUGCUAAACAAUUGUAUGUGACCAAUAACAUGUGAUUUGAUUCUGAUUUGAAAUAAAUGUCCUAUUUAUCAAAGGUG